GAAUUUAUGUGCACCCCAUAAAUGCAGGUCUCUGAAGAGGCUUAGAAGAAAGCAUAAGAGAUACUCCGGAGAUGAUAUUACAGAUAAUAGUGAGGUGCCUGAUGUGGAUGCUGGGAAUGGAACCCAGGUCCUCUGCAAGAGCAGUGAGUGAUAAUAACUGUUGCACCAUCUCUCCAGUCUCCACUGGCUAAUAUUUAAUAUACACUGAUACGGUGAAGGCCGUAGCCUGAGGAGAAAUACCCUCUCCUCAGCUUUGUCCAAGGACAGUUCCUUAAGUUCCAGAAAAACACAAGUGGAUUGGCCACCUUCAUAUAGAUGGUCUGCUUAAUGUAACAGCUAAGAGUUCUGGGGCAUAGCUGGACAGGAAAGAUGUCACAGCCUGCCUACUAUCUACUGUGAGGGAACCCUGGCUGCCAAUGUUGUAUAUUGAUGAGAUUAAUAUUUGUAACAGCUAAGAACUCAGAAACAACAACAAAAACCUCUAAAGAGCGUAGUGAUUGCUGGGAGAAGAGUCAUUCUCCCCAGUGGUGUAUUUACCUGUAAUUUGUCCAUGCUUCAGUAAUUAGCUCCCACCUAUGCUCAUGAACAGUUCCAAUGGUUUUGGGGCAUUCACAUACACAAACAUAUAGAAGGGACUUGUUGGAAUGGAGUUCAGUGACACUGAGAGAUGAAAGCAAUGUGAAAGUGGCCAAAAUACGUUAUACAUGUAGAAGAAUGUCAAAGGGUGGGGCUAGGGAGAUUGCUCAGUGGUUAAGAAUUGUUGAUCUUGCAGAGGAUCUGGACCCAGUUCCUAGCACAUACCUGGUAGUUCACAAUCAGUGCCCCCAACUCCUUUUAACUUCCACAGGCAACAGGUAUUUAUUUGGUGCACAUAACAUCAUACAUGCACACACACACACACACACACACACACACACACACACACACACACACACACACACACAAAGAACAGGCAUGUGGUUUGAAUGAGAAUAACACUAAUAGGCUCCUAUUUUGAAUGAUUGGUUCCUACUUGAUAGUUUGUUUUGGGGAAGGAUUGAGAGGCCUUGUUGGAGGAGGUGUGUCACUGUGAGCUUUCAAAAGCCCAUGCCAGGCUCACUCUUUGCUUCCAACUUGUGAUAAAGUUGUAAACUGAGCUGCUCUAGUACUAUGCCAUGCCUGCCUGCUGCCAUGCUCCCAAUCAUGGUCAUGGAUACAUCUGAAACUGUAAGCAAGCCCUCAAUGAAAUUCUUUUUAAGUUGUCUUGGUCAUGGUAUCUCUUCACAGCAAAAAAACAGUAAGACAAAAAUUAUUUGUGGUCACUCUUAUGCAGAUCUACAAUGAAAAAGCAAGUGGAACAAAAAGGGAAGUACAAAAUGUGAAGGAAAAGAACACCAGGAAAUUUAAUGUUGGAGUCAAAUCUUACACUUAAAGAGAUGAAAAGUUUAAAGAAAGGCCUGAUAUGAAAUGGAAUAAAGGGAGUCAUUCUCUUGGGGCAAGACUCCACCCAGUCAAAUGUCCAACUUGUAAUAGAAAAUGCUUAAGAAAUUUUCUAAAGCAAAAGAAAAUUUAUUCAACAAAGGAAAGCAUCAACAAAUCAAAGCUUAUGGAAGUGUAAUUCA
rnacentral:lncRNA from 1 species